rfam:Nomascus leucogenys chromosome 8, whole genome shotgun sequence.
GGGAGGUGUGAUCCCAUGCUUCCUGGGAGGUGUGAUAUCGUGCUCCCUGGGAGGUGUGAUCCCGUGCUUCCU